rnacentral:rRNA from 1 species
ACGAACGCUGGCGGCGUGCCUAAUACAUGCAAGUCGAGCGGACAGAAGGGAGCUUGCUCCCUGAUGUUAGCGGCGGACGGGUGAGUAACACGUGGGUAACCUGCCUGUAAGACUGGGAUAACUCCGGGAAACCGGGGCUAAUACCGGAUGCUUGAUUGAACCGCAUGGUUCAAUUAUAAAAGGUGGCUUUUAGCUACCACUUACAGAUGGACCCGCGGCGCAUUAGCUAGUUGGUGAGGUAACGGCUCACCAAGGCAACGAUGCGUAGCCGACCUGAGAGGGUGAUCGGCCACACUGGGACUGAGACACGGCCCAGACUCCUACGGGAGGCAGCAGUAGGGAAUCUUCCGCAAUGGACGAAAGUCUGACG